UCAGCAAUGGAUGGAGUACCUUUCAUGAUCUCUGAGAAGUUUGCCUGUGCCUCGUCCGAUCUGCAGCAGGUGGAUCUGAUGGGCAUCACAAUCAAGUCACUUUCCGAGAUUGAGAAAGAGUAUGAUUACAGUUUUCGCACAGAGCACAGUGCAGCAGCUCGCCUCCCUCCCAGUCCAACGCGGACGUCACUCAGCUCUGAGGCCUGAGGAAUCCUUCAUAACCCCACCCAUCAACACUCUGCCCUCCAGACACCAGCAGGAGAGAUCUGUACACAACUACUGACCUGCUUACUGCAAACAGUGAUACCCCACCUAUCCAAAACAACUGUAUUGAGAAGAAGAAAAAAACAACAUAAAAAAAGAGGAAUUUCCUAACUUCUGGGAAAUGUUGUGGUCUUUCUGUGUUAGUUGUGCUUUCGAAAUAAAAAGGAAACUGAAACUGAAAACACUGAAAGGCAGAAG